CACCAUGUUGACCAGGAUGGUCUCGAUCUCUUGACCUCGUGAUCCACCCGCCUCGGCCUGCCAAAGUGCUGGGAUUACAGGCGUGAGCCACCGCACCUGGCUUAAUGAUACCCUUUCUGAUGGUUAAAAUGAUUUUCAUAUAGCCUCUUCUGUCUUUCGCCUUUAUCUAUCUGUGUCUGCUUUUCUCCCACCCAAGAAUAUCAGUUCCUAACUGUGCCUGGAAAUCCCUCUGUCACAUAAUUCAAAUCCAAGUUCUUCUGACUCUGUUCUACUCUUCUACUUAAAUCAUAGCUGCUUUAAGAAGGCACUGGCCCUUGAACUGUAAAAUAUUAAAUGGAACUGUUUAUAUAAUUUAUAGUUAAAUAUGCAUUCAUUCACAUGGAAUUUGUUUUCAGUUUUGGAUAUCUAUUGACUAUGGCAUUGUUUUAUUGAAAAUCAAGUGAUACUUCCUGGUUGAAGCAGUGUUGGAAGAAAUGGCUCUUUUAUCAGAAUUACAUAUUCUGAUAUUGGCAUAUUAUGUUUAUCAUAAUCUCUUGGCUUAUAUUCUGGGUCCCCUAAUUACUCUUUAAUUCUUUCUUUGCAAAUGAAAUAAUACACAUCUUGUAUGGUUUUGCUUUAUAGGAUUUGCCAGACACUAUUCCUUACUUAAAAAUAUUUACCAGUUAGUUGGGCAUCAAGUGCCUGAUGAUGAGACUAUUUUAAAAUUAAAACACACUGUUAAUGCGUUUUUGAAAGAAAAUAAAUAUAAUGACAAACAUUUUGGUGUCCACUGUUCCCAUGGGUUAAACAGGACUGGCUACCUCAUUUGCAGAACGUUUUCACAGAAUCCAAAUGUUUACUGGAGAGGCCAUAUGGCUCCUCCUGGUCCCCCUGGAGAAGUUUAUUCACACAGGAAGUACACUUGGAAUGUGAAGCCAAAUGCCAGUAGAGCAGCCCAGGAGAGAAAAAGGACUUGGAGAAUUCUGGAGUUUGUGCCAGACAAAAUGUCUGGCUUGGAGAUUGAAAUCCCAGGGAAGUAUGCAUCCCCAGGGAAGUUUCCAUCACUACAAAGGAAUCAAGGAAGAAGUCAAUCCCUGAGCUGCUAUAGGGCAUGCUGUUCUUUGCCGUUCCACUUGUAGCAGAAUUCAAUGUUUUCUGACAGGUACAGAUCUUUAUGCUUGAGACUGUGUGGAAACCUUGGACUUGAGCUCCACUCUCGGUUAUUUUUGGUGUUUUCUAAUACCUAACUACAUUCUGUCCACUUCUAGCAUGAUACCUGGUAUGUGAUAGAACCCAGUAAAAGUUUGGUUGUGAUGGGAGUGGAUGUUUAUGCAUUAUUUUUGGAGGAUAAUUAGGUAAUAUCUUUCAAAAUUUUAAGUUUGUAUGCUUUUUAUUCUAGACAUUCUACUUCUAGGAAUUUAGAUAUAGCUGUGUAUGUGUAUGUGUAUGUUCACAUUGCAGCAUUGUCUGUAACAAGAUUUCAAAAGAACCUGAAAGCAACAAAGGUUCAUUAACAUUGAACUGGCUGAAUACAUUAUGGUACUUUUAAUUAUGUUACUGAUAAUCAAUAAAUUCCCCUGGCCACUAAAAAUAGAAUGUAAGUAUGUAUAAAUUGACUGGGAAAAUCAGUGUUCGAGAUAAAUUGUAGAAUAUGUUUAGUUACUCCUUUUGUAUAAAAAUAGAGGACAUACAUAUGUGUGAAAGUAAAUAUUUAUACACGAUAUGCAAAAUGUGAAUGUAAGCACUUGUAAAUAUCUAGAACACACAAAGAAGGUGGGGAGGUGGUGCUCGGGGGAGUUACGGGGCGGGGACAGACGGACUUUCCUGUGCCACACUGUUUGAAUUCUGAGGGGUGCAUGCACACCCUCAUUGACCUGUGCUACCAGCCUUUGGCUAAAGAGGGCGCUGUAGCCACCAAAGUCUUGUUUACAAAUCAAGCGUCUCAGUAAGCCUGCGUGGUUAGGCCCUCACGACCGACAUGCGCCAUAGCGAGACGCCGGAGCUCUGCGUGGGUGGCUUCCGAGUCUCUUUAGGACUAGAGUCCUAUCCUGGCACUGAGGGUGCCGGAUUGUCGCUUUUGGCCGGCUUGGCAUUGGGUGGGCGGCUUUUGGGACCCACAUGAACCAAUGGCAUCAUCCCGCCAGUGGCUGGGGUCGGGGACGCGACUUUCCUGGGCGCUCCUCGGCCAGGAAGAAGGGCGGAAACCACGUCCCAGAAAGAACGUUUUCACGGAAUCCAAAUGUUUACCAGAGGGGCCAUUUCCCUCCUCCUAGUACCCCUGGAGAAGGUUAUUCACACAGGAGGUACACUUGGAAUGUGAAGCCAAAUGCCAGUCGAGCAGCCCAGGAGAGAAGAAGAUGGUGUCCUGACAAUGCCUAAUUACUCCGAACUAUCCUAUCCAGCCUAUUGGGAAUGGACCCGGUGAUACAAACCUGUCUUGGAAUUGCACCUGGAGACCCGAGCUGGCCUGAAGAUUACUGGUGGAAUCUCACUCUGUCUCCCAGGCUGGAGAGUAUUGCCAAUUGAGCAAGAGAGACUGACUGAUAAACCAGAUUGCUGAUUUAUUAAAUUAUAGUGAGUAAUUUAUCUGGCAGUGUCAUUGUCAUCAGCUGCGUAGAACUAUCUGGAAAACUUGAAAACUUUUAUAGAUUGUAAAGGUUACUUGAUGAACAGAGUAGAAUUAUGUCGAUUUAAAGCCUGAGGAUAUCUGGCAAGAGUACUGUGUUAUCAUUGCUCCACUGUUGAAUAUAACCUCCUGGGAUCUUUCUCCAGUU